GACGAACGCUGGCGGCGUGCUUAACACAUGCAAGUCGAACGGAAAGGCCCUGCUUUUGUGGGGUGCUCGAGUGGCGAACGGGUGAGUAACACGUGAGUAACCUGCCCUUGACUUUGGGAUAACUUCAGGAAACUGGGGCUAAUACCGGAUAGGAGCUCCUGCUGCAUGGUGGGGGUUGGAAAGUUUCGGCGGUUGGGGAUGGACUCGCGGCUUAUCAGCUUGUUGGUGGGGUAGUGGCUUACCAAGGCUUUGACGGGUAGCCUGCCUGAGAGGGUGAACGGGCACAUUGGGACUGAGAUACGGACCAGAAUCCUACGGGAGGCAGCAGUGGGGAAUAUUGCACAGUGGGCGGAAGCGUGAUGCAGCAGCGCCGCGUGCGGGAUGACGGGCUUCGGGUUGUAAACAGAUUUCGACUGUGACGAAGCGUGAGUGACGGUAAUGGGUAAAGAAGCACCAGCUAACUACGUG
rnacentral:rRNA from 1 species